rnacentral:rRNA from 1 species
GUGUCAGCCGCCGCGGUAAGACGAACCGUCCAAACGUUAUUCGGAAUUACUGGGCUUAAAGGGUUCGUAGGCGGCCUUGUAAGUGAGAUGUGAAAUCCCACGGCUCAACCGUGGAAGUGCAUUUCAUACUGCAAGGCUUGAGGGAGACAGAGGUAAGCGGAACUGAUGGUGGAGCGGUGAAAUGCGUUGAUAUCAUCAGGAACACCGGUGGCGAAAGCGGCUUACUGGGUCUCUUCUGACGCUGAGGAACGAAAGCCAGGGGAGCGAACGGGAUUAGAUACCCCAGUAGUCC